UACGUAGGGGGCUAGCGUUGUCCGGAUUUAUUGGGCGUAAAGAGCGUGUAGGCGGCCCGGUAAGUCCGCUGUGAAAGUCCAGGGCUCAACCCUGGGAUGCCGGUGGAUACUGUCGGGCUCGAGUCCGGAAGAGGAGUGUGGAAUUCCUGGUGUAGCGGUGAAAUGCGUAGAUAUCUGGAGGAACACCGGUGGCGAAGGCGGCAUCCUGGACCGGCAUUGACGCUGAGGCGCGAAAGCCAGGGGAGCAAACGGG
rnacentral:rRNA from 1 species